GACGAACGCUGGCGGCGUGCUUAACACAUGCAAGUCGAACGGUGAAGCGCCUUCCUUUUUGGUGGGUGUGGAUGAGUGGCGAACGGGUGAGUAACACGUGAGUAACCUGCCCCCUUCUUCUGGAUAACCGCAUGAAAGUGUGGCUAAUACGGGAUAUUCUGGGUCUGUCGCAUGAUGGGUCUGGGAAAGAUAUUGUUUCGGUGGGGGAUGGGCUCGCGGCCUAUCAGCUUGUUGGUGGGGUGAUGGCCUACCAAGGCGGUGACGGGUAGCCGGCCUGAGAGGGUGGACGGUCACACUGGGACUGAGACACGGCCCAGACUCCUACGGGAGGCAGCAGUGGGGAAUAUUGCACAAUGGGCGCAAGCCUGAUGCAGCGACGCCGCGUGAGGGAAGGAGGCCUUCGGGUUGUGAACCUCUUUCGCCAGUGAAGCAGGCCUGCCUCGUUUGUGGGUGGGUUGACGGUAGCUGGAUAAGAAGCGCCGGCUAACUACGUG
rnacentral:rRNA from 1 species